AUGGGCUUAGCUUGCCUUGUUCUGUACGUUGUUCCACCCCUUGCCGCUGAUCGAGUAGCGGAUGAUGAACUUGAGCACGUCCAGCGGGACGUAGGUGACGAGGGUGAAGGCCCAGAUGGCGCCGCCCCACGCCCACCCGAUCCCCUCCAUGUCGCAGAAAUCCCAGUCGGCGUACACGGCGAUCGCCGUCGCCACCAGCUGCGCCGCGAAGAAGGCGAAGAGCAGCAGGAACCCCGGGCGCUCCACGAAGGACCAGCUCCGCGACCGCGUCACGAAGAUGAGCGCCUGGCUGAUGAUGCUCACCUGCAGGUACAGCGCCGCCAUGAGCUGCCGGUCGUUGUCCCGGAUCGGGUGCACCCCGAACGUCUCCGUGAAGAAGUCCGUGUCGUGCGCCAGGUAGAAGAAGACCACGGUGACCAGCGCCAUGUAGGUGCCCAGCACCACCCCGGUCGCGAAGAUCUCGUCCAGCUUCCACGAGUCCGGCUUGGGCGACGGCUUCACCCGGUCCUUGGAGAUGGUCAUGAUGGUGCCGUCGUUGAGGAUGGCGAUGAUGAGCACCAUGAAGGGCGCGAAGUCGAACUUCCAGAUCAGCGCCACCAGCAUGAACCCGAGCACGAUACGGAUCGUGAUGGACACCGCGUAGAUGGUGUAGUUCUUCAUCCGCUGGAAGAUGGCGCGGCUCGUCAGCACCGCGCUCACGAUCACGCUCAGCCCGGGCUCCGUCAGCACGAUGUCCGACGCCGACCGCGCCGCGUCCGUCGCGUCGUCCACCGCGAUCCCGAUGUCCGCCUUCUUCAGCGCCGGCGCGUCGUUCACGCCGUCGCCCGUCAUCCCCACGAUGUGCUUCUUGUCCUGCAGCCGCUUCACGAUCUCGUACUUGUGCUCCGGGAACACCCCCGCGAACCCGUCCGCCUUCUCGAUCAGCUCGUCGAUGGGGAGCCCGUCCACGGCCGUGCUCUUGUCGCCCAGGAGGGCCGUGGACGGGUACAUGUUGGUGCCCAUGCCGAGCCGCCGCCCGGUCUCCUUCCCGAUGGCCAGCUGGUCGCCGGUGAUCAUCUUCACGUUGACGCCCAGGUGGAGCGCGCGGCGGAUGGUCUCCGCGCUGUCGUGCCUCGGAGGGUCGAACAGCGGGAGCAGCCCGAUGAACUGCCACGGGUCGCCGGCGCUCUCCUUGUUCUUCUCCGGGACCUGCUGGUACGACACGCCGAGGGACCGGAGGCCGCGGUCGGCGUAUGA
rnacentral:rRNA from 1 species